GUGCUCACAUUGGGAGCACAUAUAUUAAAAUUGGAUCAAUACAGAGAAGAUUAGCAUGGCCCUUGCACAAGGAUGACAUGCAAAUUCGUGAAGCGUUUCAUAUUUUU